AGGGGUGUCACAGCACCUAGGAACAACAUGGCAACCAAGCAAGGCUAUUCCUCAGGAAAACUGUAAGGUAACAGCCAGUAUCAGUUGCCAAACACAUGAGUGAAGAAGCCUUCAUAUUAUUCCAACUCCAGCCUUAGAGCCUUCUAGCUGAGGCCCCUUCAUCACAGUAGAGGAGGAAAUGAGAGAAUAAGGCUUUUGUGUGGAGAGACCAAGAAGGCAUGGGUGUGUAUUUGAAGAAUAGACACGUUCGGAACCUAUUGGAUUCAGGUCACAGAUGUCAAGGACCCAUUCUUGAAGAGUUGUUUCAGUGUAAGUCUGCUCCCCCCCCAUAAAAUUCCAGAGGACUCUGGAGACAGUCACUAUUCAGUGACCUUUCUAUCCCUAUCAACUGACUAUCCAGUCAUCAGUUGAGUAGGAACUCCAAACUGUGUAUUCUCAGAACCCUUGACCACAGGCUUUCCACUUGAGAGAUGAGGCAUAGCAACACCCUGCCCUGCCAUGAUCCUAUCCAUGCCACAAUGUUUAGCAGCCCCAGGAAAACUCCUCAGAAAACUGAAGUGACCAUUCUGGGAACCCAGCAAGGUUUGGCUUACUUUUACAUCAUGAAGAAAUAAAGCAUUAUAGAGCACCAAAAACCAGGGCAGCUAGAGGGCUCAUCCAUGUCACAAGUGCAGAUUUUAGACACAGGUGAGAUAGGAGGUAAUGAGAAUUCCUAAGGAAAUGCA